UACGAAGGGGGCUAGCGUUGCUCGGAAUCACUGGGCGUAAAGGGCGCGUAGGCGGCCAUUUAAGUCAGGGGUGAAAUCCUGGAGCUCAACUCCAGAACUGCCUUUGAUACUGAAGAUCUUGAGUUCGGGAGAGGUGAGUGGAACUGCGAGUGUAGAGGUGAAAUUCGUAGAUAUUCGCAAGAACACCAGUGGCGAAGGCGGCUCACUGGCCCGAUACUGACGCUGAGGCACGAAAGCGUGGGGAGCAAACAGG
rnacentral:rRNA from 1 species